rnacentral:rRNA from 1 species
GACGAACGCUGGCGGCGUGCUUAACACAUGCAAGUCGAACGGAAAGGCCCUGCUUGCAGGGUACUCGAGUGGCGAACGGGUGAGUAACACGUGGGUGAUCUGCCCUGCACUUCGGGAUAAGCUUGGGAAACUGGGUCUAAUACCGGAUAGGACCGCACUUUAGUGUGUGUGGUGGAAAGUUUUUUCGGUGUAGGAUGAGCUCGCGGCCUAUCAGCUUGUUGGUGGGGUAAUGGCCUACCAAGGCGGCGACGGGUAGCCGGCCUGAGAGGGUGUACGGCCACAUUGGGACUGAGAUACGGCCCAGACUCCUACGGGAGGCAGCAGUGGGGAAUAUUGCACAAUGGGCGCAAGCCUGAUGCAGCGACGCCGCGUGGGGGAUGAAGGCCUUCGGGUUGUAAACUCCUUUCGCUAGGGACGAAGCUUUGUUGUGACGGUACCUAGAUAAGAAGCACCGGCUAACUACGUG